ensembl:ncRNA R10D12.19 ncRNA
CUGCCAUGUCCAUUUCAUAUCAACCUGUUCCAAAGUUUUUUUUGUGUCUCGCUUAUUUUUGAUC